GCGAACCGGGGGAACUGAAACAUCUAAGUACCCCGAGGAAAAGAAAUCAACCGAGAUUCCCCCAGUAGCGGCGAGCGAACGGGGAGCAGCCCAGAGCCUGAAUCAGUGUGUGUGUUAGUGGAAGCGUCUGGAAAGGCGCGCGAUACAGGGUGACAGCCCCGUACACAAAAAUGCACAUGCUGUGAGCUCGAUGAGUAGGGCGGGACACGUGGUAUCCUGUCUGAAUAUGGGGGGACCAUCCUCCAAGGCUAAAUACUCCUGACUGACCGAUAGUGAACCAGUACCGUGAGGGAAAGGCGAAAAGAACCCCGGCGAGGGGAGUGAAAAAGAACCUGAAACCGUGUACGUACAAGCAGUGGGAGCACGCUUAGGCGUGUGACUGCGUACCUUUUGUAUAAUGGGUCAGCGACUUAUAUUCUGUAGCAAGGUUAACCGAAUAGGGGAGCCGAAGGGAAACCGAGUCUUAACUGGGCGUUAAGUUGCAGGGUAUAGACCCGAAACCCGGUGAUCUAGCCAUGGGCAGGUUGAAGGUUGGGUAACACUAACUGGAGGACCGAACCGACUAAUGUUGAAAAAUUAGCGGAUGACUUGUGGCUGGGGGUGAAAGGCCAAUCAAACCGGGAGAUAGCUGGUUCUCCCCGAAAGCUAUUUAGGUAGCGCCUCGUGAAUUCAUCUCCGGGGGUAGAGCACUGUUUCGGCAAGGGGGUCAUCCCGACUUACCAACCCGAUGCAAACUGCGAAUACCGGAGAAUGUUAUCACGGGAGACACACGGCGGGUGCUAACGUCCGUCGUGAAGAGGGAAACAACCCAGACCGCCAGCUAAGGUCCCAAAGUCAUGGUUAAGUGGGAAACGAUGUGGGAAGGCCCAGACAGCCAGGAUGUUGGCUUAGAAGCAGCCAUCAUUUAAAGAAAGCGUAAUAGCUCACUGGUCGAGUCGGCCUGCGCGGAAGAUGUAACGGGGCUAAACCAUG
rnacentral:rRNA from 1 species